rnacentral:rRNA from 1 species
AUGAUCUUGUUGAGAAGUUUCUGUACAUGUCUUCAUAAUUAUCAGGGAAAUUUAGGUGAAACCGACUCCAUAUUCCGUGGAUCUAAACAUAACAAAAAACUAGUUCCUCCGUUCACAAAUAUAAGAUGCUCUAGUGAAUCGACUGUACGCAAACACAUUAUUAAACAGUUUAUAUUAAAAUAUUCAAAAUAUAUUAUAUUUAGAAUGAAGAGAGUACUGUAUUUGACUCUUCUUUCCAGCAUAUACACCUUAAACAUUUAUGGGUGUGCGCGCACAAUUGCGUGUUCUAACGUGGAUGUCAAAGCUGACAACGAAAUCCGACAGAAGUGCCAACAAGAUGAAAAAACAAAACAAAAAUCAGUUACAAAAUGUUGGAACACCUUGCUUUCCAAAGUUAGAAAAAAUUGA